rnacentral:rRNA from 1 species
UACAGAGGCCACAAGCGUUAGGCGGAAUCACUGGGCUUAAAGCGUGUGUAGGCGGGAUGGUAAGUACUUUGUGAAAUCCCACGGCUCAACCGUGGAAAUGCUUGGUAUACUGCCGUUCUUGAAUCACCUAGGGGCAGCUGGAACUGAUGGUGGAGCGGUGAAAUGCAUAGAUAUCAUCAGGAACGCCAAUAGUGCAGACAAGCUGCUGGGGUGUAUUGACGCUGAGGCACGAAAGCUAGGGGAGCAAACGGG